AGACCCGAAACCCGGUGAUCUAGCCAUGGGCAGGUUGAAGGUUGGGUAACACUAACUGGAGGACCGAACCGACUAAUGUUGAAAAAUUAGCGGAUGACCUGUGGCUGGGGGUGAAAGGCCAAUCAAACCGGGAGAUAGCUGGUUCUCCCCGAAAGCUAUUUAGGUAGCGCCUCGUGAAUUCAUCUCCGGGGGUAGAGCACUGUUUCGGCUAGGGGGUCAUCCCGACUUACCAACCCGAUGCAAACUGCGAAUACCGGAGAAUGUUAUCACGGGAGACACACGGCGGGUGCUAACGUCCGUCGUGAAGAGGGAAACAACCCAGACCGCCAGCUAAGGUCCCAAAGUCAUGGUUAAGUGGGAAACGAUGUGGGAAGGCCCAGACAGCCAGGAUGUUGGCUUAGAAGCAGCCAUCAUUUAAAGAAAGCGUAAUAGCUCACUGGUCGAGUCGGCCUGCGCGGAAGAUGUAACGGGGCUAAACCAUGCACCGAAGCUGCGGCAGCGACACUCAGGUGUUGUUGGGUAGGGGAGCGUUCUGUAAGCCUGCGAAGGUGGCCUGUGAGGGUUGCUGGAGGUAUCAGAAGUGCGAAUGCUGACAUAAGUAACGAUAAAGCGGGUGAAAAGCCCGCUCGCCGGAAGACCAAGGGUUCCUGUCCAACGUUAAUCGGGGCAGGGUGAGUCGACCCCUAAGGCGAGGCCGAAAGGCGUAGUCGAUGGGAAACGGGUUAAUAUUCCCGUACUUGGUGUUACUGCGAAGGGGGGACGGAGAAGGCUAUGUUGGCCGGGCGACGGUUGUCCCGGUUUAAGCGUGUAGGUGUGUGUUCCAGGUAAAUCCGGUUCACUUUAACACUGAGGCGUGAUGACGAGGCACUACGGUGCUGAAGCAACAAAUGCCCUGCUUCCAGGAAAAGCCUCUAAGCAUCAGGUAACAUCAAAUCGUACCCCAAACCGACACAGGUGGUCAGGUAGAGAAUACCAAGGCGCUUGAGAGAACUCGGGUGAAGGAACUAGGCAAAAUGGUGCCGUAACUUCGGGAGAAGGCACGCUGACACGUAGGUGAAGUGAUUUACUCAUGGAGCUGAAGUCAGUCGAAGAUACC
rnacentral:rRNA from 1 species